rnacentral:rRNA from 1 species
UACGUAGGGUGCGAGCGUUAAUCGGAAUUACUGGGCGUAAAGCGUGCGUAGGCGGUUCGUUAAGUUCGUUGUGAAAGCCCCGGGCUCAACCUGGGAAUGGCAGUGGAAACUAGGGGACUGGAAUCUGGCAGAGGGGGGUGGAAUGGCCGCGUGGUAGCAGUGAAAUGCGUAGAGAUGCGGCGGAACACCGAUGGCGAAGGCAGCCCCCUGGGCUGAGAUUGACGCUCAGGCACGAAAGCGUGGGGAGCAAACAGG